AGAGUUUGAUCCUGGCUCAGGAUGAACGCUAGCGGCAGGCUUAACACAUGCAAGUCGAGGGGUAUAUGUCUUCGGAUAUAGAGACCGGCGCACGGGUGCGUAACGCGUAUGCAAUCUACCUUUUACAGAGGGAUAGCCCAGAGAAAUUUGGAUUAAUACCUCAUAGUAUAGUGACUCGGCAUCGAGAUACUAUUAAAGUCACAACGGUAAAAGAUGAGCAUGCGUCCCAUUAGCUAGUUGGUAAGGUAACGGCUUACCAAGGCUACGAUGGGUAGGGGUCCUGAGAGGGAGAUCCCCCACACUGGUACUGAGACACGGACCAGACUCCUACGGGAGGCAGCAGUGAGGAAUAUUGGACAAUGGGCGCAAGCCUGAUCCAGCCAUGCCGCGUGCAGGAUGACGGUCCUAUGGAUUGUAAACUGCUUUUGUACGAGAAGAAACACUCCAACGUGUUGGAGCUUGACGGUAUCGUAAGAAUAAGGAUCGGCUAACUCCGUGCCAGCAGCCGCGGUAAUACGGAGGAUCCAAGCGUUAUCCGGAAUCAUUGGGUUUAAAGGGUCCGUAGGCGGUUUAGUAAGUCAGUGGUGAAAGCCCAUCGCUCAACGGUGGAACGGCCAUUGAUACUGCUAGACUUGAAUUAUUAGGAAGUAACUAGAAUAUGUAGUGUAGCGGUGAAAUGCUUAGAGAUUACAUGGAAUACCAAUUGCGAAGGCAGGUUACUACUAAUUGAUUGACGCUGAUGGACGAAAGCGUGGGAGCAAACAGGAUUAGAUACCCUGGUAGUCCAUGCCGUAAACGAU
rnacentral:rRNA from 1 species